AUAAAGUGAUGAAAAAUACUAACAUCUACCAGACAUUAUUAAUAAAAUAACACUUGAACAAUAAUUUAAAGGGAAGUUUCUGAUAAGCAGUGAAGGGAAUAGAAUGUUGGGUUAUGGGCUUUUUCCCUUCCUAUGUGGAUAAAUAAAAGCUCAAUUUGGACCAACCCAUUUUUUGCUCAUAGUCUCAUUCUUAUGAGGCAAAUUUAAGCCUAUUUAGGUCUUAUUUUCAAAUACACAGAGUUUUUCAGCAACCAAAAAGAGAGAAAGAGAACAGUUUUCGCAAUCAAAAUUCAGCCCUAAUAGCCAACUUCAAAUUGCGAUUCCCGCUUCGUUUCUUGUCCGAUUGAGCUGAUUUUUGGACAGCAUAUUAUCUUCAUCUCAAUCUUUGAUUAGGAACUGACAGAGUUGGAUUUGGUGGCCUGCAACUUCAGUUUUUCUGUCAUGAACAGUAGCUGCGAAAUUGGUGAUUCUGCUCCUUUAAUUCUCUAGAUUUGGUGCAAUCUUAUUUUGUUGUUGCUCGUUAUUUGGCACUUGUUUUGUGGCCAAUUUUGGAGAACAAUAUUGUAACUCUUGGUGAUUAUAGUGGAACUUUUGGUCCCGUGGUUUUUUACUCUUCACAUCGAAGGGUUUUCCACGUAAAUCUUGGUGUCUUGUGUGAUUGGUUUAUUAUUGCCUUGUUAUAUUUGUUUGGUUGAAUUACUUGCUGCCUUACAAUUAUAUUGUUUGUGGUUGUUUGUCUUCUCUUGGUUCAAAUCGAAAAGGGAAAGUAUAGACUUGGGUAUUCUUCCGCUGUUAUCUUGUCAGACAUUCUUUGUUAGUGUCUUGUCUUUCCCAACUCCCAAGUAUAACAUACAUACAGAUGCUUUGAACACCAUCCAAGGAAUCACAAUGUGGACUAAAAAAUUAUUUAUUUAUUUUUGCAGACAAAUCGAAAUUCUUUUUUUUAGCCUUUCUAUGAGUAAAUAAUAAAGGAGCUAAAGAGAAUGAAAUCAAAACGUUAAGCUACUAAAAGAUAACCUAAACACAAAAAAAUUCCAGCAUGCAUGAACCACUUUGAGAGAACGCUAAGGCAAGACUUAAUGCAUUUAAACACACAAUGACCAUUACUAUUUGCACAUAACUUAAGUGAAUAGCAAAAACGUCAAGUUUGAGAGUCACAUGCAUGUUAAAUGCAAAUUAAUAAGCCUUUAAUAAAUUUAUCACAAGAUUAAGUGCGGGACUAAGUAGGCAUCAGAAGAGUGGCUAAGAUAACGAGGUUGACUCGAACACAUCAACACUAACCUACACCGACCGAUAAGAAAGAUAACUGACUAACUUAAACUUGAAAAAUAAGUGCCAAACCGAAUCCAUGGAGUGAUUCUUUUGACACGUACAACAAAAUAUGAAUAUCAUUUCCACGAAUAGAGACAGAAAAGCAUUCUGGUAAUUAACAAGUGAAACAAACUAACUAUUGAGGCAAGCACUAUUGUCACGAGCUUGAGGGAAUUAAGAACGGAUAAAAUAAAUUCGAACAUACAUUCAAUUACUUCAAAACGAAAUAUACACUACCAGUUACCGAGAGAAAUAAGGUGAGGGCUAAAGGUAUCAUUUAGAGUACAACAUAUCAAGUAAAAGUAUUUUGAAGCCCAUAAAAACACAACUCAAAUCCAAACGACUACUGGAAACUGAAUGAAUAAAAUAACUGAGAAUUAUUUACCUCUUGAUGAGUAGCGACUGAGACAAUAACAAACCAAGCAGAGACUUCCAUACUUUCGAUGAGAGCUUUCGACAGAAGAAUACGGGAUAUUUUAAAACUGAAGUUUGAUAUCGAAAAUCUUUAAUCUCGCAAAAAAAAAUAGAAAUCAACAACUCUUCUUAUAAAUUUAUAUAAUUGUGUUUGCUUCUAUUCUUCUCCUUUCUAACCCCUAUUUUCCAAUUCUUUUUCGCCAACUCUCUCUACCUAUCUCCCCACUUUUGAAUGAAGAGGGUGAGGGCCUUAAAUAAAGGAAUAUAUGGGUUGAUUAAAAGGGAAAAAGGAAUUGAAUUUUAAAUUUUCAAAUUUUGAAUUUUUUUUGAAGGGAUAAGGUUGGAGAGCUGGGCAGUACUGAUUCCCAACAGAAUUCCAAGGAGCACCGUUCGAUCUGAGGAGCAAGGACGGACGAAACACAAGAUAGAGACACCUGGAAGAUUUGAUACGGAGGAUAAGGGAUGGAGAAGAGGAGACGCACGCUGCUGCUGAACGCAAUUUCUCGCGAUUGAAUCGCGGUUUCCGGGUUUGAUUCGAAGAAGAAGACGAAGUAGGGCGGGUCGAUUUGGUGUUGUACGUAUUCUGAGAUUUUGGAUGGAUGUUUUGUAUUGUUUAAAU
rnacentral:lncRNA from 1 species